rnacentral:rRNA from 1 species
AUUGAACGCUGGCGGCAGGCCUAACACAUGCAAGUCGAGCGGAUGAAGGGAGCUUGCUCCUGGAUUCAGCGGCGGACGGGUGAGUAAUGCCUAGGAAUCUGCCUGGUAGUGGGGGAUAACGUCCGGAAACGGGCGCUAAUACCGCAUACGUCCUGAGGGAGAAAGUGGGGGAUCUUCGGACCUCACGCUAUCAGAUGAGCCUAGGUCGGAUUAGCUAGUUGGUGGGGUAAAGGCCUACCAAGGCGACGAUCCGUAACUGAUCUGAGAGGAUGAUCAGUCACACUGGAACUGAGACACGGUCCAGACUCCUACGGGAGGCAGCAGUAGGGAAUAUUGGGCAAUGGGCGAAAGCCUGAUCCAGCCAUGCCGCGUGUGUGAAGAAGGUCUUCGGAUUGUAAAGCACUUUAAGUUGGGAGGAAGGGCAGUAAGUUAAUACCUUGCUGUUUUGACGUUACCAACAGAAUAAGCACCGGCUAACUACGUG